GAUGAACGCUGGCGGCGUGCCUAAUACAUGCAAGUCGCGCGAAUGGAUUAAGAGCUUGCUCUUAUGAAGUUAGCGGCGGACGGGUGAGUAACACGUGGGUAACCUGCCCAUAAGACUGGGAUAACUCCGGGAAACCGGGGCAAAUACCGGAUAACAUUUUGAACCGCAUGGCUCGAAAUUGAAAGGCGGCUUCGGCUGUCACUUAUGGAUGGCCCCGCGUCGCAUUAGCUAGUUGGUGAGGUAACGGCUCACCAAGGCAACGAUGCGUAGCCGACCUGAGAGGGUGAUCGGCCACACGGGGACUGAGACACGGACCAGACUCCUACGGGAGGCAGCAGUAGGGAAUCUUCCGCAAUGGACGAAAGUCUGACGGAGCAACGCCGCGUGAGUGAUGAAGGCUUUCGGGUCGUAAAACUCUGUUGUUAGGGAAGAACAAGUGCUAGUUGAAUAAGCUGACACCUUGACGGUACCUAACCAGAAAGCCACGGCUAACUACGUGCCAGCAGCCGCCGUAA
rnacentral:rRNA from 1 species